rnacentral:ncRNA from 1 species
AAUAACCAAAUAUAACACUUGGGCUAAGAGUCAAGUUUGUAAUUUUUCUUACAUCCCCCCCUCCUGGAGCCCAGGUAUCAUAUACGCCCCCAAAAUAGAGAGCCUUGAAUACUAGAAGAAAAGCACCUACACCUAAC